AGUCGAGGGGUAUAGUUCUUCGGAACUAGAGACCGGCGCACGGGUGCGUAACGCGUAUGCAAUCUACCUUUUACAGAGGGAUAGCCCAGAGAAAUUUGGAUUAAUACCUCAUAGUAUGUGAGAAUCGCAUGGUUUUCACAUUAAAGUUCCAACGGUAAAAGAUGAGCAUGCGUCCCAUUAGCUAGAUGGUAAGGUAACGGCUUACCAUGGCGACGAUGGGUAGGGGUCCUGAGAGGGAGAUCCCCCACACUGGUACUGAGACACGGACCAGACUCCUACGGGAGGCAGCAGUGAGGAAUAUUGGACAAUGGGCGCAAGCCUGAUCCAGCCAUGCCGCGUGCAGGAUGACGGUCCUAUGGAUUGUAAACUGCUUUUGUACAGGAAGAAACAGUUCUACGUGUAGAACCUUGACGGUACUGUAAGAAUAAGGAUCGGCUAACUCCGUGCCAGCAGCCGCAGUAAUACGGAGGAUCCAAGCGUUAUCCGGAAUCAUUGGGUUUAAAGGGUCCGUAGGCGGUUAGAUAAGUCAGUGGUGAAAGCCCAUCGCUCAACGGUGGAACGGCCAUUGAUACUGUCUGACUUGAAUUAUUAGGAAGUAACUAGAAUAUGUAGUGUAGCGGUGAAAUGCUUAGAGAUUACAUGGAAUACCAAUUGCGAAGGCAGGUUACUACUAAUGGAUUGACGCUGAUGGACGAAAGCGUGGGUAGCGAACAGGAUUAGAUACCCUGGUAGUCCACGCCGUAAACGAUGGAUACUAGCUGUUGGGGCGCAGCUCAGUGGCUA
rnacentral:rRNA from 1 species